rnacentral:rRNA from 1 species
UACGAAGGGGGCUAGCGUUGUUCGGAAUUACUGGGCGUAAAGCGUGCGCAGGCGGCUUCUCAAGUCAGGGGUGAAAGCCCAGAGCUUAACUCUGGAAUUGCCUUUGAGACUGAGAGGCUUGAGUACGGGAGAGGUGAGUGGAAUUCCCAGUGUAGAGGUGAAAUUCGUAGAUAUUGGGAAGAACACCGGUGGCGAAGGCGGCUCACUGGCCCGGUUCUGACGCUGAGGUGCGAAAGCGUGGGGAGCAAACAGG